rnacentral:sRNA from 1 species
GCACUGUGACUGUUGUGGCUUUGAUUGUUUUGUCGAUGUGCAUAUUUUGCCAAGCUGAUAUUGAAAAUUAUGACAAUACAGAACGUGUAGAAACCAUUGAAGACUACAUUUGCACUCAGAGAUUUAAAGGAUGUAAAGUCAACUACAAAGAGCGUUCAUGCAUUGAAGAAGAAUUUGUGGGAUGUGAAAAUCCAUUUCCAUACAAAACUAAGAGAGAAUGUCUCAGAGAUUUUCGUGCCUUUGGAUACCUUUGAUCAGCAGAAUUAGUUUAUCUCAAAUG